UAUAAAUUUGGGGGAACCGCCUUCACCCUCUGCCUCCUCCCACAUUAAGCACAAGAGUUACAUCUAAGCUCAACUUUCAGUCAUUUCUUCAUGCCUCUCUACCGUCUGUAAGAUGAAGGUGCAAAAAACAGUCUUCAAUUACAACAGAGAAUUUUCCACAAAUCUCCUUGCAGGAUAACACAACUGGAAGACAAGUUUGUUUUGAGGACUCCACAGAUUAUCCAGAGAGGAAUGGACAAGGCUCAUCGCCUGGCUCACAGUUGGGAGUGCAUGCUGAGUUUGCCUCCAGGGGGCGCCGCAGCCGGUUUCUAGUCUGCCCAGGCUUGGACUCCUUCCAUGAUCCCCAGAAAAAUACUUCAGCAUAAUAGACCAUUUCCUUCUCACAGCAAAUGCCUGUGUUUGAGAUGUCUCAGGGGCCAGAUGAACAAUAUUAAAACAAAGCAAUAUCAAACCAACAGAAGCAGAGCAGCAAGGAGUGAGACAUUAUCACAAAGUGGAGGACAUCGAUGAGAAGCAACAGCUGAGUACCAGGCCUCUUCUGACCACUUGCCUCCAGACCACGCUGGUUGAGCUACAGCAACCUCCUGGGAUCCUCAGGCACGCUCCAUCCCUCUGCUGAACAGUAUACUUUUAUCAAAAUCAACGAUGCAUACUGAAGUGAGUUGUCCCAAAGCAGAGGCCAGACGCUGCUUCUCUGAUCACAAGAUCUGGCAAACAGCCCAGUCAUGGGCAGGUACUAAACAGAAGGGAAUCAAUCAAAGGAAGGGGCUCAUGGGAUAAAAUGGGCAUAGUUCUAUCUACAUUGUGCAGUGUGGCCAGAUGAGAU